rnacentral:rRNA from 1 species
UACGUAGGGGGCAAGCGUUAUCCGGAUUUACUGGGUGUAAAGGGAGCGUAGACGGCUUUGCAAGCCAGAUGUGAAAGCCCGGGGCUCAACCCCGGGACUGCAUUUGGAACUGUGUGGCUAGAGUGUCGGAGAGGCAGGCGGAAUUCCUAGUGUAGCGAUGAAAUGCGUAGAUAUUAGGAGGAACAUCAGUGGCGAAGGCGGCCUGCUGGACGAUGACUGACGUUGAGGCUCGAAAGCGUGGGGAGCAAACAGG